rnacentral:tRNA from 1 species
GCUGGAAUGAUCUAGUUGGUUAUGACGACUGCCUCACACGCAGUAGGUCCCGAGUUCGACUCUCGGUCCCAGUA